UGGUCAUUACCAAGGCUGCUGGGAUGUUACUGUUUCUGGUGAGCUGUGGACAUGACCAUAAAGCAAAUCCACCAGACUCCUGUGUUGCCACACAUUUGUGUGGUACCAAGUCUGCUGGGAAUAAAG
ensembl:snoRNA